UCUCUUCAGUUCACUACCCCAAGUAUUGA
rnacentral:piRNA from 1 species